rnacentral:rRNA from 1 species
AAAGACACUGAACAUUGAGCCUUGAUGUGUAGGAUAGGUGGGAGGCUUUGAAGCGUGGACGCCAGUCUGCGUGGAGCCGACCUUGAAAUACCACCCUUUAAUGUUUGAUGUUCUAACGUUGGCCCCUUACCGGGGUUGCGGACAGUGUCUGGUGGGUAGUUUGACUGGGGCGGUCUCCUCCCAAAGCGUAACGGAGGAGCACGAAG